GCCACCAUUAGACAACUCUCAGGUCUCCUCCAGCACUGCCACUCUUCUGCAAAACCAUUUCUUAUUUUUGUCCAUCUAUUCUGUGAGAUGAGAGCCUCGGGAUCAUGCUGCCAAAUUAUCGCCCACUGAAACUUCCAUCAAAAUAGUACUUAGCAUAAAAUGAAUGCGGGGGGUGGUGGAAAUAAUAUCCCCAAAUACUUCACUAUCCUCAUCUGAGGACAUUAAAAAGUACAGUCUCUGGUUUGUGUCUGCUCUGAUAUUGAUCAUCUGACAUGUCUUCAGAUCACCUCCACAUGUAUGUCACUAGCCACGGCAAUGACCUUUUGGUUCUCAUUUUAAAGGAAACUGAAAGCUCUUCCCCCAUGAGUUCUCCUAACUGACUAUUACUCACAGAAGACGCGAUCCCUCGCAGCUUUUAUGUUCACUGCCCCCUUCUCUGAAGCUGCAUUAGCUCUCAUUCCAGCCUCUCAGUUGGAUUUUCCUCUGCAUUUAAUUAUAUCAUCUGCAAAUGAUGAUGAUUUUGUUCUCUCUUCAAACAUUCAUACAGCCUCUUUCCAUUUCUUAGUGUAGUGCACUGGACAGCGCGUUCAUGAGGAAGGGAGGCAGUGAUGGCAGCAGCAGGAAUCUUGGUCGAGUUCCUGGUUUUAAUUGGGAUUGUCUCUGCUGCUCCACCGUUAGCCUCCAGCCAGCUGACGUUUUAUGGUACUUCAAAUCAUCUGCAGAAAGACUGGUCCUUGUUUCCUGGGGCUUUCUUCAUCAUCUCACUGGGGCUGUCUCUGCUGCUGAUGCUUGGAUUUCCUAUGCCGUGAAACAGAAACCCUGCUUGGGAGGAGUUCACCUCCGAGGAAUGCCCUCCAGCCAUUCCAGUUCAUCUAACAGUGGACAACCCUGCACUGCCUGCCAUCCCUCCCACCGGGAGGUCAAGGUCCCGUGGGAGGUGAGCUUUGGAGUCUGACAAAUGGUAUUAUACUGAUAAUGAAUUAACUAACCUAUACUGUAGAGUCCUA